CCCAAAUACCCAUCCCCAUUAUCUUCUUUAAGGUUUUACCCUAAGAAUCGAUUAUACUUUCUUUAUUCAUUCCUAAGGGUUUACCUGAGGAACUGGCUCACAGUCCAUUUGCUACCACGGUUCAUACAAUAGGUACUAUGUCGCAUAGUCACCAGGGUUCGUACAAUUGGCACUACGUCUCAUAGUCACCAGGGCUUACACAAUAGGCACUACGUCUCAUAGUCACCUGGGUUCAUACAAUUGGCACUACGUCUCAUAGUCACCAGGACUUACACAAUAGGCACUACGUCUCAUAGUCACCUGGGUUCAUACAAUUGGCACUACGUCUCAUAGUCACCAGGACUUACACAAUAGGCACUACGUCUCAUAGUCACCUGGGUUCAUACAAUUGGCACUACGUCUCAUAGUCACC
rnacentral:lncRNA from 1 species